GACGUAGGGCGCGAGCGUUGUCCGGAUUUAUUGGGCGUAAAGAGCUCGUAGGCGGCUUGUCGCGUCGAAUGUGAAAACCCACAGCUCAACUGUGGGCUUGCUUUCGAUACGGGCAGACUUGAGGCAUGCAGGGGAGAACGGAAUUCCUGGUGUAGCGGUGAAAUGCGCAGAUAUCAGGAGGAACACCGAUGGCGAAGGCAGGUCUCUGGGCAUUAACUGACGCUGAGGAGCGAAAGCAUGGGGGAGCGAACAGG
rnacentral:rRNA from 1 species